UUUAUUUUUUCUUUUCUCUGUUGCUGUUGAUGUUGUUGUUUCUGUUUCUUUCUCUUUUGUUUUUGCAUGCACUUUCACAUGAUGGUGGCAAGGAGCUCUUUGGUCAACCAUGGUGGGGAAUCGCAUUUUUUUCCAUUUCGAUGAAAGGAGAACAGACCUCGGGUGGCGCGCUUACUGAUGUGGCAGAGAUGACGGCUGGAGGGAGUUUAGGGUUCUAGGGUUUUUUUUCUUUUUUUUUAAGUUUUGAGCUAUUGGCUAUUUGGGCUUUAGGGUUUUGUUUUUUUUUGUGUAUUUUGGCUUGUAUUUUGUAAAUGGACUUUUUUCGACUUUUAUUAAUUUUCUGGUUUAUUUAUUUUAUGUUUUUGUUUUGGUUUAGUUUGGGCCGGAUAAAAAUAGGUCUCUAAAAAACUUAAGUAGUAUAUAAACUUAAGUUCUGCCUAAGUUAAUGAAAACCAAGAUUUUUGAGAGUUUGAUAGAGAAAAAUUUUGAUCAAGUUAGGAGCAUGUACGUGUGUAUUAUUUCUGUAAGCAAUCAAAAGAGUCUCUUGAGUUGCAAAGUUAAGCUUUCGAUGGGGAAACU
rnacentral:lncRNA from 1 species